rnacentral:rRNA from 1 species
CCUACGGGAGGCAGCAGUGGGGAAUAUUGGACAAUGGGCGCAAGCCUGAUCCAGUCAUGCCGCGUGAGUGAUGACGGCCUUAGGGUUGUAAAGCUCUUUUACCUGGGAAGAUAAUGACGGUACCAGGAGAAUAAGCCCCGGCUAACUUCGUGCCAGCAGCCGCGGUAAUACGAAGGGGGCUAGCGUUGUUCGGAAUCACUGGGCGUAAAGCGCACGUAGGCGGAUCUUUAAGUCAGGGGUGAAAUCCCAGAGCUCAACUCUGGAACUGCCUUUGAUACUGGGGAUCUUGAGUCCGGAAGGGGUAAGUGGAACUGCGAGUGUAGAGGUGAAAUUCGUAGAUAUUCGCAAGAACACCAGUGGCGAAGGCGGCUUACUGGUCCGGAACUGACGCUGAGGUGCGAAAGCGUGGGGAGCAAACAGGAUUAGAUACCCGGGUAGUC